rnacentral:rRNA from 1 species
GUGCCUAACACAUGCAAGUCGAACGAGAAAGUGGAGCAAUCCAUGAGUACAGUGGCGCACGGGUGAGUAACACGUGACUAACCUGCCUUCGAGUGGGGGAUAACCCCGGGAAACCGGGGCUAAUACCGCAUAACAUCUCCGGGCUGCAAUGCCUGGAGAUCAAAGGGGUAACUCGCUGGAAGAGGGGGUCGCGGCUGAUUAGCUAGUUGGCGGGGUAAUGGCCCACCAAGGCGAUGAUCAGUAGCCGGCCUGAGAGGGCGCACGGCCACACUGGAACUGAAACACGGUCCAG